UGAUUUAUAUUUAAUGGCCGCGGUAUUUUGACCGUGCAAAGGUAGCAUAAUCAUUAGCUUAUUAAAUAUAAGAUUGAAUGAAUGGUUGGACGAAAUAUUAACUGUCUUCAUUUUAAUAGUUAUAAUUUAAUUUUUGAGUUAAAAAGCUUAAAUUUUUUUAAAGGACGAGAAGACCCUAUAGAUCUUUAUUUUUAUUUUUUUAUUAAUUUUUAGUUUAUUUUUGUUUUUAAGGUAAUAAUUUUUUUGUUGGGGUGACAUUUGGAUAUAAUUAACUCUUUAUUUUUUUUUUCAUUUAUUUAUGUUUAGUUGAUUUUUUAUUAUUUUUAUAANAAAUANAUACCUUAGGGAUAACAGCGUAAUUCUUUUUGANAGUUCAUAUUGACAUGGGANAUUGCNACCUCNAUGUUGAAUUAANAUUAUUAUUAGGNGUAGUANCUUAUUUGUUAGGUCUGUUCNACCUUUAAAUUCUUACAUGAUCUGAG
rnacentral:rRNA from 1 species